ensembl:snRNA U6 U6 spliceosomal RNA
GUGCUCGCUUCGGCAGCACACAUACUAAAAUUGGAAUGAUACAGAGAAGAUUAGCAUGGCCCCUGUGCAAGGAUGACAUGCAAAUUUGUGAAGCGUUCCAUAUUUUA